ensembl:lncRNA
AUAACCUCUCUGGGCUAGUGUCCUUUUCUACACUGGGGCUUAUGAUACUUGUCUUACGGCUGUUGGGAGCAAGUGAGGAAACGAUGGAGAAAUGUUUGGAAAAGAGGUACUGAAUACAGUUCUCCAUGCUGUGUAGAAGGACCUUCUUCAUCCAUCCUAUAUAGAAGCUUAUACCUGCUAACGCCAACUGACCACGCCUUCCUCCCCAGGCCUCUCCCUUGGCAGCCGCCAGUCAUUUCCUGUGUCCAUGGCUCUCUCUCUGUUUCAUAGAUAGGUUCCUUUGUGUCGUAUUUUAGAUCCCACAUGUAAGUGACAUGAUAUGAUGUUUGUCUUUCUCUUUCUGACUUCCUUCACUUAGUGUGAUAAUCUCUAGUGGCGUCCAUGGUGGUGCAAACAGCAUUAUUUCAUUCUUUUUUAUGUAGAGCCGUUAUUUUGUAAUAACUUCAAAUAGAUGGUAAUCUAUCAAAAUAUUGAAUCUCUGUGAUACACACAUGAAAUUAAUAUACCAUUGUAAAUCAAUCAUACUUUAAUUUUUGAAAAGCACUAUACUAUGUUAAAAGCACUGUAGUUCUUGGCUCCCAUUAAAGCUUGAAUCCCCUUGGAAGCUGUAAUCCCAGACACUAGUAUGAGUCACAUACAUUUCAAGCUAAUGAGUUUGUCAGCUCCUUUUUGCAGUAAGAGAUUAACAAUUGGGGAGAAGAGAGAGGUGGUAGGGAGAGCUAGUAAGGGAGAGGCGAGAGGCAGGAAAGGGUUAGGGUAUGAAAUUUUGACCAAGGACAGAAUUGUGCUCUUGGAAAAGGUUAGUAAGCUUCCGGCCUGAAAUAAAGCUUGGGGAUAACUUAUGACUUGAAAAUGGUCACGUUCUCCUUUCUCAUUUGGAUCCAACAAUUUAGAGUUGAUCAAAUUUAUUUUGCUCUUUUGCUGUGUACAUUAAUUUGAUUUCCAAGAUACACUCUUAUCCAUUUUGAGGAAACUUCAAAUUCCUUUUCUCCUGCUAAAUGAUUGUGUAUUUAGCGCAUGCAUGGUAGUUUUAGAAAGUGUGACAGCAUAUGGAUUGAUGUUAUCACACAUUCUGAAUUAAUUCCCAAAUGUUUUUCUCCUUGAGAUUCUUGUUUCAUUACAUGAUAUCUAUUCUAUUCUAAUUUUAAGGUGAUACUGAUGAUGGUAAUGGUGAAUAUGACAGUGCUUUAAUUAACAACUUCCUAAUUAAUUUUUCUUAAACAAGUUUUUUUAGAAAAAAAAAUAUUUUUUGUUUUGGCUGUGUUAUGCAACUGGCAGGGAAAGUACCAAGUCCUAACCACUGGAUUGCCAAGGAAUUCCCAUUGGAAUGCAAGGAGAUCCAACCAGUCCAUCCUAAAGGAGAUCAGUUCUGGGUGUUCGUUGGAAGGACUGAUGCUGAAGCUGAAACUCCAAUACUUAGGCCACCUGAUGCGAAGAGCUGACUCAUUGGAAAAGAC